GGUGUGUCUGUGCUGCUGCUGUCUGCACUGACUGUUUCUGCAGUCAUCUCCGUCUUGCUUCCCUUCUCUUGGAUCAGACCGACCUGUCAUUUAGUGGUCUUGAUUCCGUUCUGCAUCUCCACCCUCCUGAUGGUGUCAGUCCACAGAAACAUGACAACAGCAGGACGCCCACUGGCCGUUUCCAUGGAGAUGGCUCAACAUGUUGACGAAGCUCAGGGAUUGGAUGAAGACUAUGAUGACAUCGGUGCUGAUGUCACCACAGUGUAUGACUUGUGAGAACCAAUGAAACUAGUUCAUAAGCAAACUGUUUGUUCCAUGUUCCAGAUCAAUAAACGUCUUUGUCAGCA